UACAGAGGGGGCAAGCGUUAUUCGGAAUUAUUGGGCGUAAAGGGCGCGUAGGCGGCCUUACAAGUGGAAGGUGAAAUCCCUCGGCUCAACUGAGGAACUGCCCUCCAAACUGUUUGGCUUGAGACCGGGAGAGGUGAGUGGAAUUCCCAGUGUAGCGGUGAAAUGCGUAGAUAUUGGGAGGAACACCAGUGGCGAAGGCGGCUCACUGGACCGGUACUGACGCUGAGGCGCGAAAGCGUGGGGAGCAAACGGG
rnacentral:rRNA from 1 species